UCUAGGACUUUAAAGCUGUAAGUUGUUACAGAGGACUGUUCACCAGGUAGAGCACCUGUCCUGCCAUGAGUGCACCCUCGGUGUGAGUCCCAGCACCACAUGGGAGUGCCAUGCACUGGGAGCAGCUUCUGCGCUGUGGUGUCUUCCUCCAAAGGACUGAAUGAAAUUGAAAUCAUGCAUGCACAAGGUUCAGGCCCUUUAAAAAAACAGGAGAAAGCUUCAUGAACAAUGAAAGCAGUGCUAUAAGUAUCCCUCCUAAUUCCUCCGUCUUUCCUCUCAGUCUCUCUCUAUCUUUAUCCAAAAAGUGAAUAAAAAAUAAACAUAGGGAGUUGGGCUGUAGCGCAGCGGGUUAAGCGCACAUGGCGCAAAGCGCAAGGACUGGCGCAAGGAUCCCAGUUCGAGCCCUGGCUCCCCACCUGCAGGGGAGUCUCUUCACAGGCAGUGAAGCAGGUGCAGGUGUCUGUCUUUCUCUCCCCCUCUCUGUCUUCCCCUCCUCUCUCCAUUUCUCUCUGUCCUAUCCAACAACGAUGACAACAACAAUAACUACAACAAUAAAACAACAAGGGCAACAAAAGGAAAUAAAAUAAA